rnacentral:rRNA from 1 species
GAUGAACGCUGGCGGCGUGCCUAAUACAUGCAAGUCGAGCGAACAGACGAGGAGCUUGCUCCUCUGACGUUAGCGGCGGACGGGUGAGUAACACGUGGAUAACCUACCUAUAAGACUGGGAUAACUUCGGGAAACCGGAGCUAAUACCGGAUAAUAUAUUGAACCGCAUGGUUCAAUAGUGAGAGACGGUUUUGCUGUCACUUAUAGAUGGAUCCGCGCCGCAUUAGCUAGUUGGUAAGGUAACGGCUUACCAAGGCGACGAUGCGUAGCCGACCUGAGAGGGUGAUCGGCCACACUGGAACUGAGACACGGUCCAGACUCCUACGGGAGGCAGCAGUAGGGAAUCUUCCGCAAAGGGCGAAAGCCUGACGGAGCAACGCCGCGUGAGUGAUGAAGGUCUUCGGAUCGUAAAACUCUGUUAUUAGGGAAGAACAAAUGUGUAAGUAACUAUGCACGUCUUGACGGUACCUAAUCAGAAAGCCACGCCUAACUACGUG